rnacentral:rRNA from 1 species
AUUGAACGCUGGCGGAAUGCUUUACACAUGCAAGUCGAACGGCAGCACGGACUUCGGUCUGGCGGCGAGUGGCGAACGGGUGAGUAAUGUAUCGGAACGUGCCCAGUCGUGGGGGAUAACGUAGUGAAAAUUACGCUAAUACCGCAUACGAUCUAUGGAUGAAAGCGGGGGAUCGCAAGACCUCGCGCGAUUGGAGCGGCCGAUAUCAGAUUAGGUAGUUGGUGGGGUAAAGGCCCACCAAGCCAACGAUCUGUAGCUGGUCUGAGAGGACGACCAGCCACACUGGACCUGUGACACGGUCCAGACUCCUACGGGAGGCAGCAGUGGGGAAUUUUGGACAAUGGGCGAAAGCCUGAUCCAGCCAUUCCGCGUGCAGGAUGAAGGCCCUCGGGUUGUAAACUGCUUUUGUACAGAACGAAAAGGUUUCUACUAAUACUAGGAGCUCAUGACGGUACUGUAAGAAUAAGCACCGGCUAACUACGUGCCAGCAGCCGCCGUAA